CAGGGAGACAACAAAAUGUUUAAUAUUAUUAUUUUGUCACCUUAGGUCGAUCGGUAUCUCACAUUCUUAAUUAUUUAAGAAUUUCAUUUCCUAAGUUUUUCUAGGUCACACCCAUUAUUUUUCCUGGGCCAUUAGCUCAGGUGGUUAGAGCGCACCCCUGAUAAGGGUGAGGUCCCUGGUUCAAGUCCAGGAUGGCCCAUAUCUCUAUGUUGGGGGUAUAGCUCAGUUGGUAGAGCGCCUGCUUUGCAAGCAGGAUGUCAGCGGUUCGAGUCCGCUUACCUCCACUGAUUACCACCUCUUCCAUAACCGGUAGAAAGGAAAUGUUUUGAGUUGUGAUCAUUAUUCUGAACGAAUCUAGCUUCCUAAUGAAAUCAUUAAGAUGCUGGACUCAUUGAAUUAAUUUCAUUGUUUUCAGAGAACCUUGACAACUGCAUAGAUUAUUUUUAAAGACAAUAAGCAUCUUUAAUGAUGCAGAUUUAUUAUUUGUGCGAUUGCAUUAAUAACAAUUCUAUUAAGCUGAUGCUUCAAUUUUUGAAGUUAUU
rnacentral:tRNA from 1 species